rfam:Faecalibacterium prausnitzii L2/6 draft genome.
GGAGCAUUACUCAAGUGGUCGUAAGAGGUCGCACUCGAAAUGCGAUAGGCCGGGAGACCGGUGCCAGGGUUCGACUCCCUGAUGCUCCG